AAAUUGAAGAGUUUGAUCAUGGCUCAGAUUGAACGCUGGCGGCAGGCCUAACACAUGCAAGUCGAACGGUAACAGGAAGAAGCUUGCUUCUUUGCUGACGAGUGGCGGACGGGUGAGUAAUGUCUGGGAAACUGCCUGAUGGAGGGGGAUAACUACUGGAAACGGUAGCUAAUACCGCAU
rnacentral:rRNA from 1 species